rnacentral:rRNA from 1 species
CGGCGGAGCAUGUGGCUUAAUUCGACGCAACGCGAAGAACCUUACCAAGGCUUGACAUAUGGCGAAAACUGGCAGAGAUGCGGCGCGCAACAGGUGUGACCANCGCAACCCUUGUUCUAUGUUGCCAGCGGGAUGUCAAAUAUCAUGCCCCUUAUGUCUUGGCUGCAUACAUGGCCGGUACAAGGGCUGCGAAACCGCAAGGUGGAGCGUCCCAAAAAGCCGGUCUCAGUUCGGAUUGGGGUGCAACUCGACCCCAUGAAGUCGGAGUCGCUAGUAAUCGAGAUCAGCAACGCUGCGGUGAAUACGUUCCCGGGCCUUGUACACACCGCCGUCACGUCACGAAAGUCGAUAACACCCGAAGCCGGUGGCCCAACCUUAGGAGGAGAGCCGUCGAACUGGGAUUGGCGAUUGGG